rnacentral:rRNA from 1 species
AUUGAACGCUGGCGGAAUGCUUUACACAUGCAAGUCGAACGGCAGCACGGACUUCGGUCUGGUGGCGAGUGGCGAACGGGUGAGUAAUGUAUCGGAACGUGCCCAGUCGUGGGGGAUAACGUAGUGAAAAUUACGCUAAUACCGCAUACGAUCUAUGGAUGAAAGCGGGGGAUCGCAAGACCUCGCGCGAUUGGAGCGGCCGAUAUCAGAUUAGGUAGUUGGUGGGGUAAAGGCCCACCAAGCCAACGAUCUGUAGCUGUUCUGAGAGGACGACCAGCCAAACUGGAACUGGGACACGGUGCAGACUCCUACGGGAGGCAGCAGUGGGGAAUUUUGGACAGUGGGCGAAAGCCUGAUCCAGCCAUUCCGCGUGCAGGAUGAAGGCCCUCGGGUUGUAAACUGCUUUUGUACAGAACGAAAAGGUUUCUACUAAUACUAGGAGCUCAUGACGGUACUGUAAGAAUAAGCACCGGCUAACUACGUGCCAGCCGCCGCGGUAA